GACGAACGCUGGCGGCGUGCUUAACACAUGCAAGUCGAACGGAAAGGCCCUGCUUUUGUGGGGUGCUCGAGUGGCGAACGGGUGAGUAACACGUGAGUAACCUGCCCUUGACUUUGGGAUAACUUCAGGAAACUGGGGCUAAUACCGGAUAGGAGCUCCUGCUGCAUGGUGGGGGUUGGAAAGUUUCGGCGGUUGGGGAUGGACUCGCGGCUUAUCAGCUUGUUGGUGGGGUAGUGGCUUACCAAGGCUUUGACGGGUAGCCGGCCUGAGAGGGUGACCGGCCACAUUGGGACUGAGAUACGGCCCAGACUCCACGGGAGGCAGCAGUGGGGAAUAUUGCACAAUGGGCGGAAGCCUGAUGCAGCAACGCCGCGUGCGGGAUGACGGCCUUCGGGUUGUAAACCGCUUUCGCCUGUGACGAAGCGUGAGUGACGGUAAUGGGUAAAGAAGCACCGGCUAAC
rnacentral:rRNA from 1 species